AGGGAAGAAGACAAAAAUAUAUUUGAUUACUGCAGGGAAAACAACAUUGACCAUAUAACCAAAGCCAUCAAAUCGAAAAAUGUGGAUGUGAAUGUGAAAGAUGAAGAGGGUAGGGCUCUACUUCACUGGGCCUGUGAUCGAGGACAUAAGGAACUAGUCACAGUGUUGCUGCAACAUAGAGCUGACAUUAACUGUCAGCCUCUGCCUGUGAGUUUCUGGAUAUUGUAGAGCUGCUGCUCCAGUCUGGUGCUGACCCCACUCUCCGAGACCAGGAUGGCUGCCUGCCAGAGGAGGUGACAGGCUGCAAAACAGUUUCUUUGGUGCUGCAGCGGCACACAACUGGCAAGGCUUAAUCAAAAGACUGGAAAACUGCAGUCUGUAAUAGCAUAAGGCUUCCAUUAUGAAAGAAAACUACAAAAAUAAUACUUCUUUUCCACCCGUCUUUGGUAUGUAUUGGCUAAUAAAAUCAGUUCUGUGGAACUG
rnacentral:lncRNA from 1 species